UACGUAGGGAGCAAGCGUUGUCCGGAAUCAUUGGGCGUAAAGCGCGCGUAGGUGGCCCCGUAAGUCCGCUGUGAAAGUCAAAGGCUCAACCUUUGAAAGCCGGUGGAUACUGUGGGACUAGAGUACGGAAGAGGCGAGUGGAAUUCCUGGUGUAGCGGUGGAAUGCGCAGAUAUCAGGAGGAACACCAAUUGCGAAGGCAGCCCGCUGGGACGUUACUGACGCUGAGACGCGAAAGCGUGGGGAGCAAACAGG
rnacentral:rRNA from 1 species